rnacentral:rRNA from 1 species
CCAAUAGCGUAUAUUAAAGUUGUUGCAGUUAAAAAGCUCGUAGUUGAAUUUCGGGAUCAAUAUGUCGGUCGUGCCUUCGGUACGUACUGGUAUCAUUGGUCUCUCCUUUCUGACGAACCAUGAUGUCAUUAAUUUGGUGUUAUGGGGAGUUAGGACUGUUACUUUGAAAAAAUUAGAGUGUUUAAAGCAGGCUUUAGCUUGAAUACAUUAGCAUGGAAUAAUGAAAUAGGACGUUCGAACCUAUUUUGUUGGUUUCUAGGAUCAACGUAAUGAUUAAUAGGGAUAGUUGGGGGCAUUAGUAUUCAAUUGUCAGAGGUGAAAUUCUUGGAUUUAUUGAAGACUAACUACUGCGAAAGCAUUUGCCAAGGAUGUUUUCAUUAAUCAAGAACGAAAGUUAGGGGAUCGAAGACGAUCAGAUACCGGCGUAGUCUUAACCAUAAACUAUGCCGACUAGGGAUCGGAUGAUGUUAAUUUUUUAAUGACUCAUUCGGCGCCUUAC